rnacentral:rRNA from 1 species
GGCGGCAUGCCUAACACAUGCAAGUCGAACGGCAGCACAGCAGUAGCAAUACUGUGGGUGGCGAGUGGCGGACGGGUGAGGAAUACAUCGGAAUCUGCCCGGUUGUGGGGGAUAACGUAGGGAAACUUACGCUAAUACCGCAUACGAUCGAGAGAUGAAAGCGGGGGACCGAAAGGCCUCGCGCAGUCGGAUGAGCCGAUGUCGGAUUAGCUAGUUGGCGGGGUAAUGGCCCACCAAGGCGACGAUCCGUAGCUGGUCUGAGAGGAUGAUCAGCCACACUGGGACUGAGACACGGCCCAGACUCCUACGGGAGGCAGCAGUGGGGAAUAUUGGACAAUGGGGGCAACCCUGAUCCAGCAAUGCCGCGUGUGUGAAGAAGGCCUUCGGGUUGUAAAGCACUUUUAUCUGGAACGAAACACGCAGGGUGAAUAUCCUUGCGGACUGACGGUACCAGAGGAAUAAGCACCGGCUAACUUCGUGCCAGCAGCCGCGGUAAUACUAAGGGUGCAAGCGU